UAAUUGCGCGUCAACUUGUGAACUGCAGGACACAUGAACAUUGACAUUUCGAACGCACAUUGCGGUCCGCGGAUACUGUUCCUGGACCACGCCUGGCUGAGGGUCGUG
rnacentral:rRNA from 2 species